CUGCUACAUGUAUUUGCGAUAGAUAUAAGUAUGCUUGUAUACAUAUAUGUAUGUAUAUAUACAGUGGAUAUAAAAAGUCUACACACCCCUGUUAAAAUGCCAGGUUUUUGUGAUUUAAAAGAAUAAGACAAAGAUAAAUCAUGUUAGAACUUUUCCCACUUUUUAAUGUGACCUAUAAUGUGAACAAUUCAAUUGAAUAAAAAAAAUUAUAAAAAUAAAAACAAUUACUCGUUUAACUGGUCUGACCAACAGCUGAAUGUUGACACUAGGUGUGGCCCAUUGGUUUGAUUUAGAAAUAACGCUCAUCUUCAGGUUUAUACCAUGGCUCCAUAGCUCAGUGGUUAGAGCACUGGUCUUGUAAACCAGGGGUCGUGAGUUCAAUUCUCACUGGGGCCUUGAUCAAAUGGUCUGAUAUUUUGAUACAGGUCAAUUUCAUCCUGGCUUCUAUGUCCUAUCCUAGUGAGUUAAUCAGAUGCCUUAACCUAGCCUACUAUUGAGUCAAUCAUCGGAUGCUAUAACCGGGCCUACUACUGAUGUUAAUAAUUAAACCUUGCCAAGGGAAUUAAAGUACGAUAUUGCCAGAUAUUUGAGUCAUGUUCCUGUGGUAAUGAUGAAUGUUGUUGGGUCAUGUUUCUCUGGUAAUGAUGAAUGUUGUUGGGUCAUGUUUGUGUUGUGGCUUGAACUCUUCUGAGGUCAUAUGAGAGAACAGCAUGUAAGCUAAUUUCGUGGACUUUUAUUGGUUCUUUUCAUUUACGUAGAUUGUGUCUCCUAAAGUUUUAAAUAGAUUAAAGAGGAGCUUACUGCUAUCGACAUUACUUCUCUCUCUGUCUGUCUCUCUCUCUAAUCUUGGUGGAUUAACAGCACAGGUUAAUCGACCUCUGGUCACGUUCAGGGGACAGAGUAAAGACAAGGCGCCGUUGAAGAAAGAGAAAGACAGAUCGUUGAAGGAGAGAAGCUGAAGCUGUUUAUAACCUGCACGGCCAGGACCCUGGUGACAAUCCCCCGACGACCAGUCUACCUGAACAAGGUGCUCCGUAUUGAAGGUGCUGGGCGUCCUUCGGUAAUUACCUCAAGACCAUGUCCAAGGACCACUGUGAAUCGGUGGUGGUCAGUGUAGAGUCCCUCCUCAGCGACGCGGUCAAGAUGCAAUCUCAGUGUCGGGAGCGGAGUGACCAGCUGGCCAUCGCAGCCGCCGCCCUGAGGGAGGAGUCUGUCUUCCUGAGAGAACAGUGUCAGGCCACUCAGCUGGAUAUGGUCCGGAUGAGAAGACAGCUGGACGAACUGUUGGACACAAAGACUCAAAUGGAGGCCAGCGACAGGAUGCAACGCAAGCUCAGCAAAACUCUCUAAAGGAAAGGGCUGAGAAGAGGGGGGGGGGUGUGUGGGUGUGUGGAGAGGGUGGGUGAGAGAAGGGGAGGGGAUGGAGGGAGAGAGAGAUGUGGAUGUUGUGAGUAGGAGGUGUAGGGGAGAGGAACUGUUGAAUACCAGAUGGAGACCAAGGAUAAAAGUAUAGGGCGAACCCCAAACUCCCCAAGACACUGACAGGUGAGAGAUGGGGAAGCAGAGAGAUAUGGGGGUGAAAAGAGAGAGGGGGUAGACAGACGGAGUCGAGAGACAGAGGGGUAGAGAAACAGGAGGGAAGAGAGACAAGGUAGAGAGACAGGGGGUAGAGAGACAGGGGUUAAAGAGACAGGGGGUAGAGAGACAGGGGGUAGAGAGACAGGAGGUAGAGAGACAGGGGGUAGAGAGACAGGAGGUGGAGAGACAAGGUAGAGAGACAGGAGGUAGAGAGACAAGGUAGAGAGACAGGGGGUAGAGAGACAGGGGGUAGAGAGACAGGAGGUAGAGAGACAGGGGGUAGAGAGACAAGGUAGAGAGACAGGGGGUAGAGAGACAGGGGGUAGAGAGACAAGGGGUAGAGAGACAGGGGGUAGAGAGACAGGGGGUAGAGAGACAAGGUAGAGAGACGGGGUAGAGAGACAGGGGGUAGAGAGACCAGCCUUUUAGGGUAGAGAGGCUGUAAAAGAGAAGGAAGGGCAGGAACCAAAGCAGGUCUGGACACAGAAGAGUAAAUGUGUAGAACAGAAACAGUGUUUGGUUUCUAUACUUUU
ensembl:lncRNA